GAAAUGCGAUACGUAAUGUGAAUUGCAGAAUUCCGUGAAUCAUCGAAUCUUUGAACGCACCUUGCGCUUCUUGGCAAUCCAGGAAGCAUGCCUGUUUGAGCCUCAGUUGACUCUCCGAACCCGCGUGUUUGGGAUCUGAGCGGACCGGCGUUCACGCCCGCCGCUCCAAACGCAUGCAGCCGGCCUCUGGAGUGUUGGAUUCGGAUGGGCUUGAUAAUGUCCUGGACUUAUUAGCUGUCCGACCCCGGCGUCUCCUUUGGCGAUGGGCGCCAGACUGUGCGGAACCGGCGCGAGCCGUUCCCACGCUCGACACCUUGAGCUCAAAUCAGGCAAGACUACCCGCUGAACUUAA
rnacentral:misc_RNA from 1 species